rnacentral:rRNA from 1 species
UCGCCGGCCUAUCGCAGCCUUGCGAUUCGGAAAAGUUAUUAUGAUUCAUCCCGCCACGCUUUUAAAGGCGAUCGGUUUUUGAUCUAAUAAAUCCCGCCCCAAUCUCAAUUCGAAAACAUCAAUUAAGGACGAUGGUGCAUGUAUUAGCUCUAGAUUUCCUACGGUUAUCCACGUAGUACCGCACGAUCAAAUAAACUAUAACUGUUGUAAUGAGCCAUUCGCAGUUUCACUGUACAAAAUCGUUUGUACUGAGACAUGCAUGGCUUAAUCCUUAAGACAAGCAUAUGACUACUGGCAGGAUCAACCAGGUAUCAUUAAUUAAUGGCGCGGAUUUAAACAUACUAUCCAGUAUACGCCCUUUCCGCUUUUAAUCUUUAUAAAAAGAUAGCAAUAUCUAUACAAAAAUUAUAUAAUGAAUAGAUAAAAUAUAUUUGUUCUCUUUUUUUUUUUUAUAGAUUUGAAUUUUCUUUGUUCAAUCCAAUAAACACAAAGACAAAUUUCAAAAUAUACCGCCAAGUUAUCCGUUAUAUACAUAUUAUAUCAACAAACUUUCUCAAUAAAUAGUUACAUAUCAAUUGUUCGUUUGUACCCGCGAUAACUACGUUUUAAAAAAAAUAUUCAAAUAUGAUUCUGCAGUUAAUUUCGUUGGAACCAUUUAUACAUAUUAAUUUUUAUUUUCAUACUCUAAUACAGAUUCUGAAUAUUAAAAUCUUUAUUUUUUAUUUUUUUUUUCCUAAAGUAUGAUUAAUAUAAAAUUCCACUAUCUAUUUAUUAAAUUUUACAUACCAAAAAAAAAAAAAAAUUAAAAUAAAAUGUAGAAUAAUCAAAAAUCUGCAUAUAUACAAUUUGCAUAUUAUUUAUUGUCAUCACAAUCAAUUUCAACUUCUCUGCCUUAUUUUUAUCAAAUAUAAUCAUCAUAGUUAAAUAGUCAGCAAUGUUAGUAUUCCAUAGGCUGCUUAUUAUCCAAAAACGAUUAUACAAUAAAAGAGCAAAUUCAAAACUGGUGGAAUCUUUGGAUACUGAAAUUUGCUUCGAUUUAUAUUAUGUAUUUUUUAGAUUUUUUCUUCUUGAAUAUUUUAUAAUUUUAUAUUAUAAAAUAUCAAAUUUACUCUUUCUACAAUUCUAGAAAGUAACCCAAUUAAUAAUAAAAUAAAAAGUACAAAUUCCAGAUUCCCAUUUCUUUAAAAAAUACAUAAACUAAAUCAGUAUUUUUUUUUUUAAUUUACCUUUUAUCGGACUGAUUCUUACAACAUUAGUGUCAACAAAAUCCAGCACGCAAAAAAUAAAUUCGUAAUUAAACACAAUUGUUUUUUUGGCUUACUUAUAUAUUAUAUAUUUCUUAUCUAUAUAAAGAAACUACUUUAUAUAUAACAAAUCCCUAUUAAACCAAACGUUUAAAAGACUUAUUUAAAAACCAAAAUCACCUGUUAUACAAAUAUCAUACACCUGAAUUUCAAUUUUUCCAAACAACUAUAUAUAUAAAAGAAAUCAAGAUUUUUUUUUCAAUUUAAAACAGCUAAGUUUUUAUAUUAUUUAAUAAAACCAAUAUUUUAAUAAACUAUUUCAAAACCCAUGUAACGUAUAAACAGAUCAAAAAAAAACAAGAAUAAAUAUAUCCUACCAAUAAAAGAUAUUCAACAUCGCAAACAAACUGACAAUAAAUCUAGUCGAUUUCUUCGAUUAUUGAAUAUUAAUACAUAUAUAUUUUUAUUCCAUUUUUAUCUCUCGAUAUAAUAAAUGAAUAAAUAGAUCAUAUUUUAUCUUUCCAUAUUUAUAAAACCUUCUUUCUUGGAAUUUCCUUAAAAA